GUUGGUGAACAGCGGAGGGAUCAUUA
rnacentral:rRNA from 1 species